rnacentral:rRNA from 1 species
UACGUAGGGCGCAAGCGUUAUCCGGAAUUAUUGGGCGUAAAGAGCUCGUAGGCGGUUUGUCGCGUCUGCCGUGAAAGUCCGGGGCUCAACUCCGGAUCUGCGGUGGGUACGGGCAGACUAGAGUGAUGUAGGGGAGACUGGAAUUCCUGGUGUAGCGGUGAAAUGCGCAGAUAUCAGGAGGAACACCCGUGGCGAAGGCGAAUCUCUGGACCGGUUCUGACGCUGAGGAGCGAAAGCUAGGGGAGCAAACAGG